rnacentral:rRNA from 1 species
CACGUAGGGUGCGAGCGUUAAUCGGAAUUACUGGGCGUAAAGCGUGCGCAGGCGGUUUUGUAAGCCAGAUGUGAAAUCCCCGGGCUUAACCUGGGAAUGGCAUUUGGGACUGCAAGGCUCGAGUGCGGCAGAGGAGACUGGAAUUCCUGGUGUAGCAGUGAAAUGCGUAGAUAUCAGGAGGAACACCGAUGGCGAAGGCAGGUCUCUGGGCUGACACUGACGCUCAUGCACGAAAGCGUGGGGAGCAAACAGG